GUCUGCUUAGCUCCAGUUUACUUCUCUCUCUUGCUAACAUCACAAUAUAUGUAGAAUAUGCACACCUACUGGACUGGUAAUAGCCGGCAAUGGAAGAGAGCUAAUCCAUUACUGACUCCGAUAAGGCUGUGUCUCCUCUACGUGAUGCCAAUGAGGGGUAAUGGCGAAUAACCCAAACAUUAGUCCAGUUAAUGGGUAUUGGAUAUUUCUGUAUGUUUCCAGGUGUCACCAGAAAUGGCAGGUUUAUAUCUUUCGUCAAUACAGACAACUGCCCAACAAUCCGAAGCAGUACAUGAAAAGUGCUGCCCGCAGAAUCAUG